UGUGACUCAACCACCAGAGUAAACAAUACGGAAAGUAGCCAUGGCAACAUUGUGGUAAACGGGGCUGCACAGCUCAGGCCUCUACGGAAGAGUCAGAGAUUUGGGGAUGCUUGCCGGCUCCGCCCCUUUGUUGAGAAACCGGCUGGAGAACAAAAAUGGAAGCUAGGCAAUAAAAGGCUACAGAUGUUUCGUGGAGUCAGCUCCACCAUGACAUUAAGCUCACUUUAA